rnacentral:rRNA from 1 species
GUAGGAGGCAAGCGUUAUCCGGAGUUACUGGGCGUAAAGCGCGCGCAGGUGGUUGUAUAAGUUGGUUAUGAAAGCUCCUGGCUAAACUGGGAGAGGUUGACCAAGACUGUAGAACUUGAGUGGAUGAGAGGUAAACGGAAUUCCGCGUGUAGUGGUGAAAUGCGUAGAGAUGCGGAGGAACACCAGUGGCGAAGGCGGUUUACUGGCAUCCAACUGACACUGAGGCGCGAAAGCAUGGGUAGCGAACGGGAUUAGAAACCCCGGUAGUCCAUGCCAUAAACGAUGCACACUAAACGUUCGUUAUCCGCGAGGGUAAUGAGUGUUGAAGCAAACGCGAUAAGUGUGCCGCCUGGGGAGUACGGUCGCAAGGCUAAA